CAGUAAAAUAAGAGAGCCUCUGCCAGGAAAGUGGUGCUUCCCUGACAUGCUUGGGGGGAGCCACGUUUCUGCAAAGUUGAAAAUGGGAAAGAAACGAAUUGACCUCAGGUGGAAGAAGGCUGUGGCAGAUGAUGACCUUUCUGCCCUGCACCAUGGAGACUCAUAGACUUCUGGAGUGCUGGGCCCCACAUGCCAGUAUUGCCUUCAAAAGGCCCGGCCUGAAGAAAGGAGUAAAGAAGACAUAUAUUGAUAGAACACAUCUCAUUUUAAAGCCCAUCUACCUCCAGAGUCUUCUAAUUCCUGAUGGAUUAUCUCCUCUUAUAUCACUGAAAUUUUUGCGUGAGUCCAAAGGAAUGA